ACCCUUUUGGCUCAGAUGGUAAAGAAUCUGCUUGCAAUGCAGGAGACCUGGGUUCGAUUCCUGGUCUGGGUC
rnacentral:tRNA from 1 species